rnacentral:lncRNA from 1 species
GCCCUUUAGGGGAGAGAAGAGUGUGGAGGGAGGAAUCGGGGAAGCCCAGUGCCGUACUGAUGCUCUGGACUUUGUUUUUGGAGGUAGCCUGUGAUGCAGGGCAGAAAAGAGCUGAUGCCUUGGAGAGAGACUGGGAGAGGCUGGAGUUAAUAGAGGUGCCCACGCACCCAAAGGGCCAGCUCCUGCAUUUUUUCACUUCACCGAUGCCAAAGCCACUUUGCCCACCUUUGCAGCAGACGCAGGGAAUUAACUAUCUCAAGAAGUGGCCCUUAGUUAUUAACUGAUGGCAGCUGGUCCCAGGGUAUCCAAGAAGCUGUCAUCCAGGUCUUCUCCAAUGAAGCUACAACAACCCACAGAGCCAGCAGGGGAACCUACACCUUCGAUGUCAUAUAUGAGCAAACAGUCAUUAGAUGGGCGUCCUUCAUCUUCAUCUGCAUGGAGUGAAUAUGAUGAUUCUGUGAAGGUUUAUUGCAACAUGACUUUUUCAGCACAGCAACAGGAAAAUUUGACUCUGGGUCUGUUCUACAAAAUUAAAGCUUUCUCAGCACAAAAAACAGCAUAGACUGUGAGUGAUGGCGGCCAUCUUGGUUCAUGUGUAAAGACUGAAUUUCAGUGACUACCAACGGCUAUUUCUUAGAAUGUGGCACUUACCCUGGGUUCAGGCUGUGGUCCUUCUACUGCCCAUGAAUGAAUUGCUCCAUCUGAACAUUCGGGAACAGGCUCAAAGCCAGCUGCACUACGAGGAGCACCUCCACAAUCACAACAGAUCAUCAAAAAUGGGACCACUGGUGGUGGAGGGAUAGUAAUACUAGAGUUAGCACUGGGUGCAAAUAAAAAACAAAACAACCUGAUUUUUUAUGGUUAAAU